rnacentral:lncRNA from 1 species
CUUUAAUCUCCCUCGUACAUCUCUGUUGCUGUAAAUUCAUGCUCCAUUAUGGUACCAUAUGCCCGGAUUCGUUACGAGAGCCAUAGCCAGCUUGGCGGGUUCUGUACACCUCCAUGGACCCUUUGGCCUUGGUUUGGGGGAACUUGAUGCAAACGAUGGUCCUGGAUGAUUGGGGGCCAGGAUGAAGUCUUAGUUCACACCUGCCUGAUCCAAAGAGCACCUCUCCUUAAAUAAAACUGGGAGGACUCUUGCCUGUUCCUGGGAAAGAGUUGCCUUUUCUCUUUCUACAAAGAUAUUCACUCAUUCAAGAAAUAUUGACUCAGUGGCAGUCAGAGUGUUAGGCACUGGGGAGACAAAGGCAGACACUUCCUCUGUGCACACCUAAGGAGCAAAAUUUUCCUCUGUUCCUCGG